ensembl:lncRNA
UCUGGCCUGCCAGGCAGCCUCUUCAACCUAUGCCCUGUGGUGGGGCCAUUGCAAGCCUUGGACUGGCUCCAGGCACCCUACUCCCACCCACCACCUUGGCACCAUCCCUCACCUGUGACCAUCCUGGUGCCCAUUUUCAGCAGGCUCUCCUCAGCAUCCUCCUGUGCUUCUUCAGCUCAGAGAUCACUGGGCAGCACGUGAGGUUUCCUGGGAAUGUGGCCUUGGAAUUUGUUUUUCCUGGUACUCUUCUGGGACUGACAUGCCAUAGGCUAACCUACAGUCACACAUAUUCCUAGUCACAGUGGGAUCUUUAGGACUAAGGUGGCAAGUCUGAGUAGGCCACCAGAGGCCUUGGGAAAGGGGUAGAUGGUGGAUACACUUGGCCGGAGAGUUUGGGCCUGGAGGAAAGGUUGGGAAAAGCCUGGCUACCCAUGGGGGAGGUCUACCUGCAGGACUCGCAUAGGCACUGUAAACAGCACAGCAGGCAGGAAGGGUCAGGGUUUCUCUGUGUACCUUUGCAGCCUGUCCUGGAACUCACAGAGACCCGCCUGCCUCUGCCUCCUGAGUGCUGGGAUUAAAGGCAUGCGCCACCAAUGCCCGGCUGUCUGAUGAUAAAUGCAAUGCUUGAGAAUCACGGUCAAGCGGAGCGCAGUCUGCUGGCCUAAUGCACCUCCAAGCAGGAAGGGGAGACAGGAUAGGACCACCGAGGGGUCACCCUCCCAAGCCUCCGUGUUGCACUGGGAUACUAGCCGCUGUCACGCAGCUUUUGUCAGGGCAGGAACACAGCAACCCUGAUUUUGUUCCACUCAGGGUGUCUGGAGGCUGGGGCCAUCGAGGGACACUCUGUACAAGCUGUUCCACUCAGGGUGUCUGGAGGCUGGGGCCAGCGAGGGACACUCUGUACAAGCUGUUCCGCUCAGGGUGUCUGGAGGCUGGGGCCAGCGAGGGACACUCUGUACAAGCAUGGACACUGUAUCUGAGCCAGAUCUGCAGGUGGUGACAGCCUGGCUUCGGGCCUUCUUUACAGGCGUGCCCUAGGAGCCCACUGGCUCCUGUAUGCAUCUCAGUCUUCCCAGGGGCUCCGUAGAGCACGGAGCACUUGGCCAUCUUAGGCUUGAUGCAGUAGGUCUGUCCUUCUGCCCCAGGACCCCACUUGGAGCACUGGGGAAUUGCUACUGGGUGCUGCAGGCCAGCACUGAUUGGAUUGGAUCUGAACAAUCCCUAAAGGCAACGUGAAAGAAAUAACCCUCUCUCCUCUCCUAUCCCGUGGCUGGAGAGGCAGGCACUAUGUGGAGUCGGGAGAAGCCUGAAGAGCCCGUGAGCUGGUACAAGCUGAGCAGUGGUCCCGGGGAGCCCUUCUGGGUGAUGGAAGACAGGCCAUCCACACAGGUUGUGAGGCAGUGGUGCCUCUUCAGAUUCGGGAGAUUCACAGACACUCUGGCUGCCUGGGUAGAUACAUGAAGAUCACCGGUGCCAGUUUCAGUACAAGGCCAGAGUGGGGGACAAAAUCACAAGCUCUCAACUCUGUCCUUUUUCAAGAGAAAAAGCCUGCAUUUCUAUAGCAGAGUGACUUCAUUGUGGCCUAAGAACCCGAGCCUGUCAGGACAGGUAGUCUCUGUGAGGCUCCUCACUGUCCUCACAGCAGUCCCUUUGUGGGGCAGGAGAGAUGGUGGCCUCCUGCCAGUCUCCUGGAUACUUGAGGACACCAGUAGUCCAUCAUGACGUUCCC